AGUGGGAUUGUUGGGUCCUACAGUAACUUAUGUUUUACUUUUGAGAAACUGCUAGAUUGUUUCCAAAGUGACUGGACUGUCUUAUAUUCACAUCAACAAU
rnacentral:pre_miRNA from 1 species